CAGCUUGUUGGUGAGGUAAUGGCUCACCAAGGCGUCGACGGGUAGCCGGCCUGAGAGGGUGACCGGCCACACUGGGACUGAGACACGGCCCAGACUCCUACGGGAGGCAGCAGUGGGGAAUAUUGCACAAUGGGCGCAAGCCUGAUGCAGCAACGCCGCGUGAGGGAUGACGGCCUUCGGGUUGUAAACCUCUUUUAGCAGGGAAGAAGCGAAAGUGACGGUACCUGCAGAAAAAGCGCCGGCUAACUACGUGCCAGCAGCCGCGGUAAUACGUAGGGCGCAAGCGUUAUCCGGAAUUAUUGGGCGUAAAGAGCUCGUAGGCGGUCUGUCGCGUCUGCUGUGAAAACCCGAGGCUCAACCUCGGGCCUGCAGUGGGUACGGGCAGACUAGAGUGCGGUAGGGGAGAUUGGAAUUCCUGGUGUAGCGGUGGAAUGCGCAGAUAUCAGGAGGAACACCGAUGGCGAAGGCAGAUCUCUGGGCCGUAACUGACGCUGAGGAGCGAAAGGGUGGGGAGCAAACAGGCUUAGAUACCCUGGUAGUCCACCCCGU
rnacentral:rRNA from 1 species